AGAGUUUGAUUAUGGCUCAGGGUGAACGCUGGCGGCGUGCUUAACACAUGCAAGUCGAACGGGCACCCUGACAGAGGCUUCGGCCAAUUGAUAGGAAUGCCUAGUGGCGGACGGGUGAGUAACGCGUGAGUAACCUGCCUGGGAGUGGGGAAUAACACAUCGAAAGGUGUGCUAAUACCGCAUAACACUUUAGUAGGAUCGCAUGGUUUUACUGUCAAAGAUUUAUCGCUUUCAGAUGGACUCGCGUCUGAUUAGUUAGUUGGCGGGGUAACGGCCCACCAAGACGACGAUCAGUAGCCGGACUGAGAGGUUGACCGGCCACAUUGGGACUGAGACACGGCCCAGACUCCUACGGGAGGCAGCAGUGGGGAAUAUUGGGCAAUGGGCGCAAGCCUGACCCAGCAACGCCGCGUGAAGGAAGAAGGCUUUCGGGUUGUAAACUUCUUUGACAGAGGACGAAGAAAGUGACGGUACUCUGAAAACAAGCCACGGCUAACUACGUGCCAGCAGCGGC
rnacentral:rRNA from 1 species